rnacentral:rRNA from 1 species
GGGGAAUUUUUGGACAAUGGGCGAAGCCUGAUCCAGCAAUGCCGCGUGUGUGAAGAAGGCCUUCGGGUUGUAAAGCACUUUUGUCCGGAAAGAAAUCCUUGGCUUCUAAUACAGUCGGGGGAUGACGGUACCGGAAGAAUAAGCACCGGCUAACUACGUGCCAGCAGCCGCGGUAAUACGUAGGGUGCAAGCGUUAAUCGGAAUUACUGGGCGUAAAGCGUGCGCAGGCGGUUUUGCUAAGACCGAUGUGAAAUCCCCGGGCUCAACCUGGGAACUGCAUUGGUGACUGGCAGGCUAGAGUAUGGCAGAGGGGGGUAGAAUUCCACGUGUAGCAGUGAAAUGCGUAGAGAUGUGGAGGAAUACCGA